GACGUAGGGUGCGAGCGUUGUCCGGAUUUAUUGGGCGUAAAGAGCUCGUAGGCGGCUUGUUGCGUCAGCUGUGAAAACCCACGGCUUAACCGUGGGCCUGCAGCUGAUACGGGCAGGCUAGAGUUCGGUAGGGGAGACUGGAAUUCCUGGUGUAGCGGUGAAAUGCGCAGAUAUCGGGAGGAACACCGGUGGCGAAGGCGGUUCUCUGGGCCUGUACUGACGCUGAGGAGCGAAAGCGUGGGGAGCGAACAGG
rnacentral:rRNA from 1 species